GAGGAAAGAGGGAGAAAGGAUUAACACAUGCAAGUCGAGGGGAAACGACGGGGAAGCUUGCUUCCCCGGGCGUCGACCGGCGCACGGGUGAGUAACGCGUAUCCAACCUGCCUCUGACUGAGGGAUAACCCGUCGAAAGUCGGCCUAAUACCUCAUGGUAUCGUCUGCGGGCAUCCAACGACGAUUAAAGAUUUCAUCGGUCAGGGAUGGGGAUGCGUCUGAUUAGCUUGUUGGCGGGGUAACGGCCCACCAAGGCUACGAUCAGUAGGGGUUCUGAGAGGAAGGUCCCCCACAUUGGAACUGAGACACGGUCCAAACUCCUACGGGAGGCAGCAGUGAGGAAUAUUGGUCAAUGGGCGAGAGCCUGAACCAGCCAAGUAGCGUGCAGGAAGACGGCCCUAUGGGUUGUAAACUGCUUUUAUGCGGGGAUAAAGUGAGGGACGUGCCCUCAUUGCAGGUACCGCAUGAAUAAGGACCGGCUAAUUCCGUG
rnacentral:rRNA from 1 species